rnacentral:lncRNA from 1 species
CCAGAUCAAGCCCAGGCCCCUGCUGUAGCACCCGUCGGUAAGCCUGUGAGAGAGCUGUGUUCCUGCAAGCUCCGGCACCAUGGUGGCCGUCAAGAAGACCAAAAAGGCCCAAGAGUCCAUCAACAACAGGCUUGCCCUGGUCAUGAAGUCCGGCAAGUACACGCUGGGCUACACCACCACACUCAAGUCGCUCCGGGGCGGCAAGGGCAAGCUCGUCAUUAUAGCCAACAACUGCCCACCUCUUCGAAAGUCCGAAAUCGAAUACUACGCCAUGCUCUCCAAGACCGGUGUGCACCACUACAGCGGCAACAACGUGGACCUGGGAACCGCCUGCGGGAAGUACUUCCGCGUGUGCACUUUGAGUAUCACGGACCCUGGUGAUUCUGACAUCAUCCGCUCCAUGCCUACUUCUACUGAAUAGAAGAACAUGGGCAGGGGAGAUGGGAGAUGCGGCGGACGUCGGUAGCUGGUGCUUAUCUCGGUAUGCAGAUUUCCUUGGUGUGAACGGAAAGUUUUGGGUCGUGGGGUGAGAUGGGGAAUUUAAAGCUCGUCUUUGAUGCCGUCACUUGGUUAGGUCGUUAGAAUUUGGGAUGUUGUGAGUGAUAGAGCUACUAAAGGGUUCAGG